UACGUAGGGUGCUAGCGUUGUCCGGAUUCAUUGGGCGUAAAGGGUGCGCAGGUGGCGGGGUAAGUCUGAUGUGAAAUCCCGGGGCUCAACUCCGGAACUGCAUUGGAUACUGCUUCGCUUGAGUACUGGAGAGGAGACUGGAAUUUACGGUGUAGCAGUGAAAUGCGUAGAGAUCGUAAGGAAGACCAGUGGCGAAGGCGAGUCUCUGGACAGUUACUGACACUGAGGCACGAAGGCCAGGGGAGCAAACGGG
rnacentral:rRNA from 1 species